rnacentral:rRNA from 1 species
GUGUCAGCAGCCGCGGUAAGACGGAGGAGGCUAGCGUUGUUCGGAAUUACUGGGCGUAAAGCGCGCGCAGGCGGCUUUGCAAGUCAGGGGUGAAAGCCCGGGGCUCAACCUCGGAACUGCCUUUGAGACUGCAAGGCUCGAGACCGGGAGAGGAGAGUGGAAUUCCCAGUGUAGAGGUGAAAUUCGUAGAUAUUGGGAAGAACACCAGUGGCGAAGGCGGCUCUCUGGCCCGGACCUGACGCUGAGGCGCGAAAGCGUGGGGAGCAAACAGGAUUAGAAACCCCAGUAGUCC